rnacentral:tRNA from 2 species
GCGCCCGUAGCUCAACUGGAUAGAGUACUCGGCUACGAACCGAGCGGUUGCAAGUUCGACUCUUGCCGGGCGCA